UGGGGAAUAUUGGGCAAUGGGCGCAAGCCUGACCCAGCAACGCCGCGUGAAGGAAGAAGGCCCUCGGGUUGUAAACUUCUUUUAUCAGGGACGAAACAAAUGACGGUACCUGAUGAAUAAGCCACGGCUAACUACGUGCCAGCAGCCGCGGUAAUACGUAGGUGGCAAGCGUUAUCCGGAUUUACUGGGUGUAAAGGGCGUGUAGGCGGGUCUGCAAGUCAGAUGUGAAAUCUCAUGGCUCAACCAUGGAACUGCAUUUGAAACUGUAGAUCUUGAGUGAUGGAGAGGCAGGCGGAAUUCCGU
rnacentral:rRNA from 1 species